GCAAACAACAUAUCUUGGGCUGGAAUGAAAAUAAAGUACCUUUGACAUGCAUACAAGAAACCAGGACCUGUUCAUCUGUGGAAGUCCUCAACUCAAGGUCCUCUUAUUCGCCUUUUCUGAGCUUUCAACCAUCUUCGUCAACUCCAUUGCUGAUAAAAACACAUGUGUCUCAGCUGUUCUGGAUCCAUGAAGCGAGGGGGAUCUUCAGUGAGCAUCGCAACACUUCUGCACUUCUUAUGCAGCCUCGACAGCAAAUACACAGAAGAGCUUUGAAUACAAAGAAAGAAAUAAGUCCGAUUUAAUGCCGCUGUGUGUCAAAGUAAACUUGUUAUGUAUCUGUACGGAAGAGGAUCAGCGCCACAUCGAAGGAUCUUCUGAGGAUUCUUACGACUAAUCUUUUGUACAAUAUUUCUCUGUAUUGUUCCCAUCGAUGUGAUGGUUUGAUUCACUUGUGCGUGUUGUUAUGGAAAUGUUUGAAAAGUCCCAACGAGUCUGAUUGCUGAAGCGUCUUCUUCUUCUUCUUCUUCUUCUUCGUGAUAUACGAGCUGCUUCACUCCCACCUUAACCCCGAGGAGCGGUCGGGAGGAGUAUCAUUCAAGUUCAUGACACAUUCUUGCAGAUUUCUUCGUUUCGCUUCUGUUUUUAUCUCGUGUGGACGUUCAGUGUUUCAGAGGGAGCAGUGGAGCUCUCCGCUGGACGCAGGAGCGAGAGAGAACAAACACAGAACUUUAUUUAAACUUGAGACAGUCUUUCUGUCGUCCCCGAUGAUUAGGUCGAGGCAGACGGAUAGUGGGAGUUCUCGGUGGGAAUGAUUGAUUUCAUGAUAACACAUUAAUUAAAGAGUAGUAGAGUAGUUUUUAUGGACCGGACGCAGUAUUUCUUUGUGUUGUCCGUCUCUUUCUCAUCUCAGGGACGCCAGGAGUUUCUUCAAAUCUUGCGCAAACAUCCACUUGGUCUCAAAUAUAAACUGAUUAGAAUUGGUGCACAAAGGUCAAAGGUCAAAGUCACGUUGACCUUACAAAACACGUUUUUGGCCAUAACUCAAGAAUGCAUAAUUAUAACCAUUUCACACAAAUGUCUCGUAGAAUAAAAUGACGAGGUAGAUGAUGACAUUUUGGACAGGUAUGGAUGUAAUCAGAAACUUGACUGACUAUUAUGUAUCACAUUGAGAUCUGUGUACUUCCUGGGUAUGUCUGUGAGAUACAGGGGUCAGCACGUGUGCCCACAUGCCUCAUUAAAGGAUUGCAAUUUC